rnacentral:lncRNA from 1 species
AAAGGGUCAAGGCAAAAAUAUGACUACCAACAAAAGGCUAUAGGCUCAAAGGGGCUAACAAGUGGUAUAAUAUUUGAAAAGACUAAAAUUUAAUAGGACAAAUCAAAGAAAGCCUAUUAUCAUCUUCUAAACAAAACGACUCUUUAUUUCGCUUCAACAACAUGCAGGGUAAGUUCUAGACUAAGAUGCAAAAUAUGGAAUAUGCACAUCCU